AUUGAACGCUGGCGGCAGGCCUAACACAUGCAAGUCGAACGGUAACAGAAAGCAGCUUGCUGCUUUGCUGACGAGUGGCGGACGGGUGAGUAAUGUCUGGGAAACUGCCUGAUGGAGGGGGAUAACUACUGGAAACGGUAGCUAAUACCGCAUAACGUCGCAAGACCAAAGAGGGGGACCUUCGGGCCUCUUGCCAUCGGAUGUGCCCAGAUGGGAUUAGCUAGUAGGUGGGGUAAAGGCUCACCUAGGCGACGAUCCCUAGCUGGUCUGAGAGGAUGACCAGCCACACUGGAACUGAGACACGGUCCAGACUCCUACGGGAGGCAGCAGUGGGGAAUAUUGCACAAUGGGCGCAAGCCUGAUGCAGCCAUGCCGCGUGUAUGAAGAAGGCCUUCGGGUUGUAAAGUACUUUCAGCGGGGAGGAAGGGAGUAAAGUUAAUACCUUUGCUCAUUGACGUUACCCGAAGAAGAAGCACCGGCUAACUCCGUG
rnacentral:rRNA from 1 species